GACGAACGCUGGCGGCGUGCCUAAUACAUGCAAGUCGAGCGCAGGAAGCCGUUCCGAACCCUUCGGGGGGACGAACGGUGGAAUGAGCGGCGGACGGGUGAGUAACACGUAAAGAACCUGCCCAUAGGUCUGGGAUAACCACGAGAAAUCGGGGCUAAUACCGGAUGUGUCAUCGGACCGCAUGGUCCGCUGAUGAAAGGCGCUCCGGCGUCGCCCAUGGAUGGCUUUGCGGUGCAUUAGCUAGUUGGUGGGGUAACGGCCCACCAAGGCGACGAUGCAGAGCCGACCUGAAAGGGUGAUCGGCCACGCUGGGACUGAGACACGGCCCAGACUCCUACGGGAGGCAGCAGUAGGGAAUCUUCCAAAAUGGACGAAAGUCUGAUGGAGCAACGCUGCGUGAACGAUGAAGGCUUUCGGGUCGUAAAGUUCUGUUGUAAGGGAAGAACAAGUGCCGCAGGCAAUGGCGGCACCUUGACGGUACCUUGCGAGAAAGCCACGGCUAACUACGUGCCAGCCGCCGCAGUAA
rnacentral:rRNA from 1 species